rnacentral:rRNA from 1 species
GAUGAACGCUAGCGGCAGGCCUAACACAUGCAAGUCGAGGGGUAGAACACUUCGGUGUUUGAGACCGGCUCACGGGUGCGUAACGCGUAUGCAUUCUACCUUGUACAGGGGAAUAGCCCAGAGAAAUUUGGAUUAAUGCCCCAUAGUAUGUAACCUUCGCAUGUUGGUUAUAUUAAAGUUCCAACGGUACAAGAUGAGCAUGCGUCCCAUUAGUUAGUUGGUAAGGUAACGGCUUACCAAGACGAUGAUGGGUAGGGGUCCUGAGAGGGAGAUCCCCCACACUGGUACUGAGAAACGGACCAGACUCCUACGGGAGGCAGCAGUGAGGAAUAUUGGUCAAUGGGCGCAAGCCUGAACCAGCCAUGCCGCGUGCAGGAAGACGGUCCUAUGGAUUGUAAACUGCUUUUAUACAGGAAGAAACAACUCUACGUGUAGAGUCUUGACGGUACUGUAGGAAUAAGGAUCGGCUAACUCCGUGCCAGCAGCCGCCGUAACAC